GAUGAACGCUAGCGGGAGGCUUAACACAUGCAAGUCGUGGGGCAGCAUAGGGUAGCAAUACUCUGAUGGCGACCGGCGCACGGGUGAGUAACGCGUAUGCAACCUGCCCUGUACAGGGGGAUAGCCCGGAGAAAUUCGGAUUAAUACCCCAUAAUGAUAUUGAGAGGCAUCUUUUAAUAUUUAGAGCUUCGGCGGUACAGGAUGGGCAUGCGUGACAUUAGCUAGUUGGUAGGGUAACGGCCUACCAAGGCUGCGAUGUCUAGGGGUCCUGAGAGGGUGAUCCCCCACACUGGUACUGAGACACGGACCAGACUCCUACGGGAGGCAGCAGUGAGGAAUAUUGGUCAAUGGGCGAGAGCCUGAACCAGCCAUUCCGCGUGAAGGAAGAAGGCCUUAUGGGUUGUAAACUUCUUUUCUGUAAGAAGAAUGGCCCCGACGUGUCGGGGUAUGACGGUAUUAUAGGAAUAAGCAUCGGCUAACUCCGUGCCAGCCGCCGCCGUAAAAC
rnacentral:rRNA from 1 species